rnacentral:lncRNA from 1 species
CUUGCUUCAAGAGUUCUAGCCUUUAGAACUCAACUAGCCACCAAUCGAUCAGAUCUUCCUUCAGAUCUAAGUUUGAAACUCUUAGAACCAUCCACUGGACCUGACCACCUUUUUCUGGACCUCUUAAACCCUUAGAGCUAUUAGGAUUAGGCUUGUCUUAAAAGAACAAGCCUUUGUCCUAAACCCUAGAGUUGUAAUAGAGGGAGAGAGAGAGUGGAUAGGGGAUGUAAGAAUUGAGUGAUCAAUCCAUCUGCCAUCCCCUAUUUAUAGCACCAGAUGGGGUGCCAACAGAGAAGGCAUGACUCAUCUGAAAAGUCAUAUUAGAUCCUCG